UACAGAGGUCUCAAGCGUUGUUCGGAUUCAUUGGGCGUAAAGGGUGCGUAGGUGGUCGGGUAAGUCUGAUGUGAAAUCUCUGGGCUCAACCCAGAAAUGGCAUUGGAUACUAUUCGGCUAGAGGAGUGGAGGGGGGGACUGGAAUACUUGGUGUAGCAGUGAAAUGCGUAGAUAUCAAGUGGAACACCAGUGGCGAAGGCGAGUCCCUGGACACUUCCUGACACUGAGGCACGAAAGCUAGGGGAGCAAACAGG
rnacentral:rRNA from 1 species